rnacentral:rRNA from 1 species
UACGUAGGAGGCAAGCGUUGUCCGGAAUUACUGGGUGUAAAGAGCGUGUAGGCGGUUUGGUAGGUCCGCUGUGAAAACUCGAGCUCAACCUCGAGACGCCGGUGGAAACCAUCAGACUAGAGUCCGGAAGAGGAGAGUGGAAUUCCUGGUGUAGCGGUGAAAUGCGCAGAUAUCAGGAAGAACACCCGUGGCUAAGGCGGCUCUCUAGUACGGUACUGACGCUGAGACGCGAAAGCGUGGGGAGCGAACAGG